AAACUUGAUUAAAUAUUUUUUAUGUGAUAUAAUAAAAUUGUUAUUUUAUAACUAUAGUGAUAAACGGUUUACGAAAUAGGUUUUAUGGACCAGGGGGCAGUACCCUGCGUCUCCACCAAAAAUAUAUAUGGGGACGAAAUAGGUUCGACAUAAGAUAAUAAAGGUAGAUUUUUCACUCGGCAUAGUACCAUCGUUAUCGGGCUAAUUUUAAUAAAUGCCAAUUUGAAUAGAAAAGGCAAAAAACUCGCAGCAAAUCUUAACAGAAGAGCUGUCGUUGCAAAAGCUGCUUAAUUUGCCUGUAAUAGGACUUUAACAGACUUUGUGACUAUUGUUUUUGAAUAGACAAUAGAGUUGCGGCUUUGGGGAAUGCCGAGCAACAGAAAUUCCCCUUU
rnacentral:tmRNA from 1 species